rnacentral:misc_RNA from 1 species
GAUGAAGAACGUAGCGAAAUGCGAUAAGUAGUGUGAAUUGCAGAAUUCAGUGAAUCAUCGAAUCUUUGAACGCACAUUGCGCCCCAUGGUAUUCCGUGGGGCAUCCCUGUUCGAGCGUCAUUUACCCCCUCAAGCUCCGCUUGGUGUUGGGCGUCUGUCCCGCUUCGCGCGCGGACUCGCCCCAAAGGUAUUGGCAGCGGUCGUGCCAGCUUCUCGCGCAGCACAUUGCGCUUCUCGAGGCACCGGUGGGCCCGCGUCCAUCAAGCUCACCCCCCCAGUUUGACCUCGGAUCAGGUAGGGAUACCCGCUGAACUUAAGCAUAUCAAUAAGCGGAGGA